rnacentral:misc_RNA from 1 species
CUUCAGUUUGGGAACAGAGGGAUUUCCUCUCCUUCUAGGUCUCGAAUUUUGCCUCUGCUUGCAGCAAAGAAGCAAACAUUUUCCAACUUGGAUGAGUUAUUGGCAAAUGCUGACAAACCAGUCUUGGUUGACUUCUAUGCAGCCUGGUGCGGUCCAUGCCAGCUUAUGAGUCCAAUUCUUAAAGAGGUCAGUGCCAUCCUGAAUGACACAAUCCAGGUGGUGAAAAUCGAUACUGAGAAGUACCCUAGCAUUGCUGACAAAUACAGAAUAGAAGCAUUGCCUACAUUUAUCUUAUUUAAGGAUGGGAAACCUUAUGAUCGCUUCGAGGGUGCUUUGACUAAAGAUCAAUUUGUUGAACGCAUCGAAAAUUCACUGCAAGUGAAGCAAUAGUUAGUACACGUUGUGUUUUCCCUUUUAAGUCUGUCCCUUGCAGAAUGCAUUUGCGUGCUGUGAGACCCCAGAAAUAAACUCAUUCCCAUUUUUGGCCCUCAGGUUUUAUGAGAAAUGCAAAUUGAAGCUAUUAUGUAUGAAUUAUUGCUUACCCGGAAGACCACCCGAAUGCUCCCCUUCCAGAAUGCUGUAAUGACUGUUACUGUACCUAAAAAGAGUGACAAACGCAAAUUCUAAUGGCAUGUUUGUUUGUAAGUCUUGGAAAU